GCCUUGCUUACNCCGAGUUGUUGUUUGUCAANCCCAAACUGUUCUGA
rnacentral:tRNA from 1 species